GACGAACGCUGGCGGCGUGCUUAACACAUGCAAGUCGAACGGAAAGGCCCUGCUUUUGUGGGGUGCUCGAGUGGCGAACGGGUGAGUAACACGUGAGUAACCUGCCCUUGACUUUGGGAUAACUUCAGGAAACUGGGGCUAAUACCGGAUAGGAGCUCCUGCUGCAUGGUGGGGGUUGGAAAGUUUCGGCGGUUGGGGAUGGACUCGCGGCUUAUCAGCUUGUUGGUGGGGUAGUGGCUUACCAAGGCUUUGACGGGUAGCCGGCCUGAGAGGGUGACCGGCCACAUUGGGACUGAGAUACGGCCCAGACCCCUACGGGAGGCAGCAGUGGGGAAUAUUGCACAAUGGGCGGAAGCCUGAUGCAGCGACGCCGCGUGCGGGAUGACGGCCUUCGGGUUGUAAACCGCUUUCGCCUGUGACGAAGCGUGAGUGACGGUAAUGGGUAAAGAAGCACCGGCUAACUACGUG
rnacentral:rRNA from 1 species